CGGGGCGUAGCGCAGUUUGGCUAGCGCGACUGGUUUGGGACCAGUAGGUCGCGAGUUCGAAUCUCGCCGCCCCGACCA
rnacentral:tRNA from 1 species